AUGGGUUUAGGAAUCAGACUCUUUAUACCUUCAUGGAGGGGAGUCCUGUGCAACAUGCAGUAAUGGAGAAGAUUUCACAAGAAGUAGGAUCCCAGUUGAAGAGUUUGAAGUCACUAUCAAACACAAGAUGGGCAUGCAGAGCAGAAGCAAUGGCUGCUGUAAAACAAAACU